UCCGCCGUACAUGAUUUCGUGUCUACCUUACGAUUGUACUCGUGUGCGGUGCUCUGAAUCAUACAACAUCACAUGCACGUUACAUACGUACCUACGUAUCGCAUAUCGCAUAUUGCACCACGUCGCUGUACGCGCGCGAGUUGCAGCGGUACGAGAUGCGUAAUGGUUUUUCUUCUCCAAUUCUUUGAUCGCCUUGGGACAACAAACUGCUGCAAUACAACAAGCGAAACGCAACAUCAGAGGCAAUAGAUUUCAAAACCGACGGUUUGUAACUAAUUGUCUACGAUCUGACCAUAUCCAUAUAAAACCGAGGGACGAUUUCAAUGCUGCUGCCGCUGAUGCCGAUGCUGCUCCUAGAUGAGCGAGGAAAUAGAUCGCGAAAAGAAUUAUGUGCCUGGUGCAGGAAUGGAGAGCAGAUUUUUCAUUCGAUUCACGACGAGUGUAUACGGUGUUCCGCAAUAACGGAUUUAUGUGUUAUAAAAAACACGAAAUGGAAGGUACGGAGUAAAAAUAAUAAUUGUUCACUCGACUAUAGGAGGAAUCGUUCUGAAAUCGUGAGAGUGGAGAGAAAAUUUAACAAGUCCGAAGUCACGUAGAUUCCCAAUUUUCGCACCCUUUGAUUUUUGGAUUCUGCGCAAUUAGCGAAUUUCUAAGUUACUAAUGAAGAAAAACGUCCAGCGAUGUUCCAAAUUUUGAUAUCCGACAUUCGAACACACCUUGUUUUAAUACAUAUACAAUUUUAUAAAAUAUUAUUCCGUAAAAAUAAUUCCGUAGCAUGAGAUAAUCACCGGCUUACAUGCCUGAAUACAUCCCAAAGGCUAUAUGCCGGAUGACGAGCAAGAUUUAGGUAAUUAGUGCGGUAUGAGCCCUUGAUUACUAAUUACUUAAGGGGUUACUCGUCCAUUACUAAUUAGUAACACAAUCUCUUUGUAGAUCACGAGAUAAAUUAUAUCCACAAGAUCAUUGCUCUCCAUCGAGUCGUUAAAAGGAAAUAGUCAAAUAGAUAAAGUGGUCAAAUUUUUCAACAGAUUUCCGAUUCCAAAAUUUUGCAAUGAUUCAUUGCGUUUGGAUUUUCGUUAAUUCGGUCACUGUUCGACCUUGAAAUUCAAAUGAUCGCGCGUCGCAAUUAAAUUACAAGAAAUCCACCGUAUAUGUAUCUACCAUUCAUAUACGUACACAUUUAUUUAUAUAUGGUUGUUAAUUAGUUUCGUGUAGAGAACGGAAAUUGAACGCCUACGCCCGCAAUACAUGCGAACGUACUCUGAACCUCAGACAUAUGUAUUCCAUUAGGAUCCACAUUGCAUCUAUUUACCUGUCGGCCCCAGUACAUACAGGUACAUGAAUAAAUGUAACACGCUCGUCCGAUUUACCUGCAAUUUCGAGACAAGACUUUAUUAUCAAAAAACACCGAUAAGUUGGAUGAUGUGACUCGCCAUGAAUGCAAAAUUCGUAUACCUGUGUAAAAUGUACAUAAAAAAAGAAUCGGUACGUAAUUUAUCCAAUUGGAAAAAGUGGUUGGAAAUUUUUGUAAAAACUCCACGUUUGAAUAGACUGAAAAAAAAAAUCGAAUCAUCAAUCAUCACCUCGUAGAAGCCUUUGUUCUAUCCUCUUUUUUGACGAUCUACUCCAGACGAGGUACCGGCGGAUAUUAAGUGAGAAUACAAAAUGACGUAUACAAGUUAAGGGUACGUUAAGGUAUUAAGGUACAGUAUCCACCUAACUAUUGGUCCAGGUUAUUUAUGUGACGUGCCAUUACAAACUCUUAAUUGUUUGACUAAUGCGCCGCUAAGUGCGGCGUGACCCGCACGCGAGGUCCGGUUCAGAGGUCCGUCUGCGGCUCUCGCAUAUAAUCUACAUACACAUAUUCAUAUAUCUAUGUAUUACAUCAACAACAUACGUACAUGUGUUACAUACUCGCACGUGUACGAGUAUGCGUGUGCAUCUCACGCACACGAGACACCGCGAGGAUCCUUAUGUACGCGGCUCGUGUUCAGAGUUGAUGUCCAGGUCGUAAUUAGAGAAGACGUAAUUGUUGGACCAACCGCCGCGUGCGCGAUUUUCCGUAUCACGUACGGUACCGUCAGACAUCUGUUACGUAGUGUGUGCGGUAAAUAUAUCAUAGAAAAUAUAAACCUAUCCGCCCGACAUUUUCAUGGUGCGACAACCGUCAGGAUAGCGCAGGUACACCACCGCGUCGGAUACGCGGCAGUUUCAUUUUGAAUAACGAAAUUUUCUCCCAAAAAAAGAAAAACAAAAAAAAAGAAAACAAAAACAAAAAAAAAACAACAAAUCUGUCGGCAUUUUUGAGGAUUAGAUAUUUUCUCAACGGUGCGAACGAGAUCGUAAUGUAACCGCGAUUGUAUCUAACGACCAAUUAUAACGUCAGCAUCGGUACAUAUGUAUAGGUAUACCAUAUAGUAUAUGCGAUGUAGGUAUAGGUAUACAGGUACACGGUGUGUCGAGGUAUACGACGUAGGUAUCGACUCCUGCACCGCACCUAUUAUCCGCGAUCAUUAUCUACGGGCGUUUACUAAACGAUUCACACCACGCGAGAAUAAAACAGAAAAAAAAACAACUAAAAACUAAAAAAGAAAAAAAAAAAGAAAAACCAAAGAACCUGAGUUAAAACUGAAACCAGAACCAAAAAGGAAACCGCACUAAAUCAUGUAUAACCUGGAUCACGUGGUAUUAUAGGUAUUUGAGGCAACCCCGACCUAAGACAAGGGGUAGAAGGUAUAAUGAAAUAGAUUUUUCACACCUGCCGAAAUUUCGUCCGUUUGAGAUGGCGAAAAAAUGCGAUGUAAAAUCGAAGAGGAGAAUAGAAUAAAAUGAAAGCUUAUGGGAGAUUUAUACGUAGCUGGUGGUUGAAAAAAUUAUGUUGCAAUUCAUUUGCUCGAAGUGCGAGAUAAUGUUAUAAUGUUAAACCGCGCGUAUAUUAUGCAUCUAACAUAUUGUAUACAUCGAGUAUAUAUGUUGGUCGACCUGUUCGUGGACAGGUGAGAUCGCGUAGGAAGUGUCUUGUUUAUAGUCAUAUCCUUUAAGAAAUGUUGACGCCCCUUUUCACGAGUUCUCUCAAUGUACAUUUUGAACCGUGUAGAACGUUUCUUGCACGUAUAAUAUUUAAUAUCGUACACCAGUGUAUAAUACGCACGCGUAUAAUUGAUGCGUUUUUAAUGUCACUAGGGCAAACAAAAUGUCAAAUUGAGAGAAAAAAAAAAAAAAACAAAAAACAACAACACGAAAGACGAAAAUCAGAUACCGAAGAAAGUAGAAAAAAAAUUCAAAUGUAAGUAAUACCUCUUGCCGAUGGAUUCAUUUGAUUUAUUCCGAUACAAUUAAUUACGUGAGAAUAAAAAAAAAAAGGAUCUCGGAGUGAAAAACAUUUUUGGCACAGUCAUGCCGAAGGUAGUUUUUUUUUUUCCUCUCAUUUUCCGAAGCCCAGCUUUUUUGAAAACGGAAUUAACGAGCUAGAGAUUAUACGUAACCCGGAGAUCCUAUGGAUCGAUUAAAAAGAUCCUUAGAUCCUAUAUUGAAGAUCGGCAACCGUGAAAUUUCUCGUUAAACUUAAGACAGACGGACAGAUCUGAAACGGAGGGCUGUCUUAAAUAAAACGGCACGUCCUUUAAAACCAGCUAAAAGAUAACUGAUUUCAAGCUUCGUUAUUUUUCGACACCCUGUUUAUAAUUAGUCUUCUUCACACCUUGUCCAAAUGAAAUCGAUCCAAAUCCCAAGCUCGGAGAUAACGAGCUCCGAACGGGAUUAGCGAAAUGCACACAUUCACGUCUCCAGCCAAACGAAACACCGAUCUUCAGUUUGAUGAUCGAAAUCAGAAAAUUUUAGGUCAAAGAAAUUGAAAAUCGUAUGCCAGUCACACGAAGUCUUAUACGGUACCGGGCUGUAUUAUACCACGUAACAGACGAGGUAAUUAUUACGUAAUGAGGGAGUACAAUCAAGUAUCAAAUGACCAUUAUCGGUUCAACCUUGACUCAUUCGAUACAAGUAAUCGCUACCGUGUUGGUGAACAAGAAAACAGUAAACAGGAAGAAAUAAUAAACGCGUACUUUGACAUUACGCAGUGCGUGGUGGACAUCUUCAAUUCCAUUCCACCCUCUUCUGCAUCUGCAUUCUUCGUAUCGUCGAAUGUAUUUUCUUUCUCUCUUCUUUCGUUCCGCUAUUCGUUCGACUCUUCUUUUGCCGCAUUAAUUACUCUCUAUCUUUCGUGUUUAUUUAUUUCUCAGUUCGAGUUACAUUACCGUACCUCACCGGCACACACAGCCGGAUCAUUGUACGUACAUCCGUAGCGCAAAAACAAGUUCAAACAUCACGCCACAAUGACGCUCGAUAUGACGUGUACGUGUGGACGCGGAACGAGAAGUGUCAUACGAUGCCGUAAAAACAGAAGAAGUAGAAUAAAGUACGAAGAGAAAAAAGAAAGAAAAAAAAAAAAACCAUGUCAAAAUACGCACCAAAGCGAAAUCCGAUGUGCAACGUGCGUCUUUCGCAAUUGACAAGAGAGCCACAACCUAACCCGCGUGUUUACGAUUACGUCAAAGAGUAAUCGCUAUGUACCUACUACGUACAAUUUUCAGACGUUUACAUAUAUGUAUUGUACAUACCUGUAUACGCGUAUCUCUUCGUAUUCACAUACAUACCAGCAAAAUUUUCUUAUUUUCUCAUCUUUCCUUUUUGUUAUCGUACGAUUGUCACGUAGUUUCUUCUUGUCGAAGACGAAGUGUGCCCCGUAUGAAGAUGACGCCGUUGAUCGGGUUUCGUGUUACUUUUAACGCGUGAGCUUUGAGUUUCGAAGGCCAAUGGACGUGCAAAUGUCCCUCUACGUGUAACACACGCGCCUCGAAUACACACAACACGUGCAUGCAAUAAGUAAUUCUUGAUCUGUAUUAUAGUAUUAUGACUCGUGCAGUCCGAUGCGGUACGAUGAUAUGAUACGGAUUAAAUAUCCCUGCGAAAGCAUUCCCGGAGGAUAAGAACGACGAGUGGUUGGCAAAAGGAAAUAAAGGAGAAGAAAAACAGAACACGAUAUACGCUGCGGAUCACCGACUGCAACACCUUAUGCGUAUGGAGGUCACGACCUUCCGGAGCGAACGUUAGAGCGGACUUCCGGCGCCCUGAGAUACUUGGAUGAGAUGAAAAACCGCAGGAAUAUCCUCGUAACAUAUAUCCUCCCUACUUCACAGGAUGUAGACAGUUAUGGACUGGCCUCUUUUUUUGAACCCCUCCGAAUAGAGAGAGAGAGAGAGAGAGAAGAAAAAAAUGAUGAAAAAGAUCCGUUAUGAUCGCUCUCGCGGCUUCAUUUUUGUGUGUAAAAAAAUCACGUUUUAUGGGUUUUAGGUUUGAACAGACUAACUAUUUGAAAAAAAAAAAAAAAAACAUUUUUUCGAUUA